ACCACUCCAGUAGCGGCGGGAGCAGCAGCGUUAGGCCGGGGUGUGGCUGCACCUCUGCGAAGGCUGUCGUGCCCCGUGCAGCUGCGGCGUUCGGGUGGGGGAGGGGAGGCUCACACCCUGCGGCGGCUUAAGCCUGGAUUUACGCACUGGAGGAGGGAAUUAGCCCUGAGAUGUCAGCCCUGUGCCCCUGGCGCUGUCCACCCGGACGCCCGCGGAGCGCCAGGCGCCGCAGCGGACCGCGCGCGCACUGAUUGCCGCAGCUACUCUCCCUGCCGUCGCCGCCCGGGACCGGGUGACAUUGAGGUUUUCGUCUAUCGCCGCUGGGCCGAUAGGGCUUCUUUUUAAGAUUUGGCUUUCCAAGUAAGAUUUUUGUUUGCCUGCUUUUCUCCUGGAAUUUUUUUGUUUUUGGUCGAAGAAGCAGGUAACUUGCAUAUCUUAAGGAAAACAUUGUUUUUGCUUUGCUUUUGUUGUUUAAAGAUCCUAAAACGUACCGUGAUUCCUUUACGUUACUAAUAAUUGGAAAGUGUGUUAAAUCAAGGGUUCGCUUAAUGUUCUUUAGCCUUUGUACAUAGAAUAUAUAAAUGUCGUGAGUCAUCUUUA
rnacentral:lncRNA from 10 species